AUUGAACGCUGGCGACAUGCCUUACACAUGCAAGUCGAACGGCAGCACGGGUGCUUGCACCUGGUGGCGAGUGGCGAACGGGUGAGUAAUACAUCGGAACAUGUCCUGUAGUGGGGGAUAGCCCGGCGAAAGCCGGAUUAAUACCGCAUACGAUCUACGGAUGAAAGCGGGGGACCUUCGGGCCUCGCGCUAUAGGGUUGGCCGAUGGCUGAUUAGCUAGUUGGUGGGGUAAAGGCCUACCAAGGCGACGAUCAGUAGCUGGUCUGAGAGGACGACCAGCCACAUGGGGAUUGGGCCAGCCCCCCCCCCCUGGCGGGGGGCGGCGUGGGGAUUUUUUGACAAGAGGCGAAAGCCUGUACCCAGCAGGCCGGCGUGUGACAAGACGCCUUCGGGGUUUAAAGGCCUUUUUGCCGGAAAAGAACCCUUUGCCCCUAUUCCGUGGGGGGGAGGCGGUUCCGGAAAAAAAAACCCCCGCCUACCCCCGUC
rnacentral:rRNA from 1 species